CAGUGCCUCCCCGACCUGUAGAGCAGCUCCCAGCUUCUGGGCGACCUCCAUCAUCUUGUGUCCAUGUGGGGAGGAAGAAAAAAAAAGUCACAGGAAAGUUUUUUCUCAAGCUGGCCUUAAUUGAAGAAUUCAUGCUGCUUGGAACAUCAAAGCCAAAACAGGCAUAAACAUACAUUGUAUCUAGAUUAUUUGGGCUUGAUUUAAAAGUCUCCUGACAGCUUGCUUAGUGACUCCUGGAUUUAAGACUUACCUCCGGAUCAAAUUCCAGAGAGCUACUAUACUUGAACUGCAGAGGGCUGCUCCACAGAAAUGUCUCUUACCAGCCAAAAGCAUGUAGAGCUCCCCCAUCUUCGGCUGGAAGUUGAUGGCUGCA